rnacentral:lncRNA from 1 species
UUGACAAAGUGGUCACUGAGCACAAUGUCAGCCCCAGCGUCGAAGGUGGAAGAGUGGGUGUCACUGUUAAAGUCGCAGGAGAUGACCUGGUCCUCAGCAUAGCCCAGGAUGCCCUUGAGGGGGCCCUCUGAUGCCUGCUUCACCACCUUCUUGAUGUCUUCGUAUUUG